UAGGGAAUAUUGGACAAUGGGCGCAAGCCUGAUCCAGCCAUGCCGCGUGAGUGAAGAAGGCCCUCGGGUUGUAAAGCUCUUUUGUCCGGAAAGAAAAGCAUUCGGUGAAUACCCGGAUGUUCUGACGGUACCGGAAGAAUAAGCACCGGCUAACUUCGUGCCAGCAGCCGCGGUAAUACGAAGGGUGCAAGCGUUACUCGGAAUUACUGGGCGUAAAGCGUGCGUAGGUGGUUGUUUAAGUCUGAUGUGAAAGCCUGGGGCUCAACCUGGGAAUGGCAUUGGCAACUGGGCUGCUAGAGUGCGGUAGAGGGUAGUGGAAUUCCCGGUGUAGCAGUGAAAUGCGUAGAGAUCGGGAGGAACAUCUGUGGCGAAGGCGACUGCCUGGACCAGCACUGACACUGAGGCACGAAAGCGUGGGGAGCAAACA
rnacentral:rRNA from 1 species